rnacentral:ncRNA from 1 species
GGGGGAAUCAAUCAAGCUUGAUCAACCAUUAACAAGCAAUCCUAAUGUUCUUAAGAACCUACCAUUGGGAGGGGAACAACAACUGGAAACAGUUGCUAAUACCCCGUAGGCUGAGGAGCAAAAGGAGAAAUCCGCCCAAGGACGGGCUCGCGUCUGAUUAGCUAGUUGGUGAGGCAAUAGCUUACCAAGGCGAUGAUCAGUAGCUGGUCCGAGAGGAUGAUCAGCCACACUGGGACUGAGACACGGCCCAGACUCCUACGGGAGGCAGCAGUGGGGAAUUUUCCGCAAUGGGCAAAAGCCUGACGGAGCAAUGCCACGUGGAGGUGGAAGGCCUACGAGUCGUCAACUUAUUUUCUCGGAGAAGAAACAAUGAUGGUAUCUGAGGAAUAAGCAUCGGCGUAUUUCCUUAGACUUAGAUCACGCAAGGCA